GUAUACAGUCACACCACUGUGAGCAAGCCCGAUCUCAACUGAUCUUGGAAGCUAGCAGAUCAGACCUGACUUAUUUUUGGAUGGAAGAGCUUCCUGAACCUAAGUAUGGGAACUAUUUUCU
rnacentral:rRNA from 1 species